rnacentral:rRNA from 1 species
AUUGAACGCUGGCGGCAUGCCUUACACAUGCAAGUCGAACGGCAGCACGGGUGCUUGCACCUGGUGGCGAGUGGCGGACGGGUGAGUAAUACAUCGGAACGUACCUUAUCGUGGGGGAUAACGCAGCGAAAGCUGUGCUAAUACCGCAUACGCCCUGAGGGGGAAAGCGGGGGAUCGCAAGACCUCGCGCGAUUGGAGCGGCCGAAGGCAGAUUAGGUAGUUGGUGGGGUAAAGGCUCACCAAGCCGACGAUCUGUAGCUGGUCUGAGAGGACGACCAGCCACACUGGGACUGAGACACGGCCCAGACUCCUACGGGAGGCAGCAGUGGGGAAUUUUGGACAAUGGGCGCAAGCCUGAUCCAGCCAUUCCGCGUGCAGGAUGAAGGCCCUCGGGUUGUAAAGCUCUUUUGUCAGGGAAGAAACACCGGCUCUAACACAGUCCGGGAAUGACGGUACCUGAAGAAUAAGCACCGGCUAACUACGUGCCAGCCGCCGCCGUAA